UGCGCCCGUAGCUCAGCUGGAUAGAGCACCAGACUACGAAUCUGGGGGUCAGAGGUUCGAAUCCUUUCGGGCGCGCCAU
rnacentral:tRNA from 1 species